rnacentral:rRNA from 1 species
UACGUAGGGUGCGAGCGUUAAUCGGAAUUACUGGGCGUAAAGCGUGCGCAGGCGGUUUUGCAAGACAGAUGUGAAAUCCCCGGGCUUAACCUGGGAACUGCAUUUGUGACUGCAAGGCUAGAGUGUGUCAGAGGGAGGUGGAAUUCCGCGUGUAGCAGUGAAAUGCGUAGAGAUGCGGAGGAACACCGAUGGCGAAGGCAGAUCUCUGGGCCGUAACUGAACGCAUGAGG